AGAAUAUCCAUCCAUCUAUCCAUGCUUCUGUCUACCUAUCUACCUCCUUGCAAGAACACUUCUUGUUCAUCUUCUCAUUGAGUUUGAUUGCUGGAAAAGUGGCUUCCAUAUCCCCUGACUUAAUGCAAGUAGUGGAAACACCUGCUCAGUGAACAAGUACUUUGGAAAAUGCCCUCAGAACUUCACACAUCAGAAAAACAUGUGUGUCUCCCUGCUCAACCCUGGAGUUGCCAAUAUGCUACAUGUUAAUUCCUCACUGACCUUACUCAAGCCCUCUGGAAGAGAAUGGUGCUCCUAAAAAUGUCCCAGUGGCAUGGGACAGCAAAUUCCUCUGUGCUCACUGCAAGAAAGCACACAAUUCAACUUUUCAAUCCCAUUGAGUAUCUGAAAAUGAACUGUAUUUUCAAUGUAUUCCCCUCCAGAGAGUACAUUGCAGAGGAAACCUGUUCAAAUCCACAAAUGAUUUUGAGUCAAGAAGCUAAAUAUGAGGUCCUUCAAGAAAAGUUAAGAGAUUCCCUGACCUUAAAUUUCAUGUUGCACUUAUAAGAUGGACCUGUUAGCAUCUGUCCCCACCUCUGGGUACCCGGCAGAAUGUGCUGUCUUUUGGGACUCAGGGAGAUAGUCACCCACACCAGGAGCACCAAAUAAAUCCCUAGGAGGGACUCCAUGGUCCACCCAGGAGCCUCCUCAAGCAACUUCUUCCCCCAAAUAACCUUGAAGUCCUAGAAAUCAACUAAGAAAAAAGAUAUCCAUGUCUUUGAUUUAAAAAAAAUAAUGAAAUGCCAACAGUCCAGCACCCAAUAGGGAAGCUAUGAGACUACAUUUUCUGCAUGUGGAGAAGACACAUCUAAUGGAGAAAUGGGAAACUGCUUCAAAAGUGUUGGGCCACAGUGAGAGAAUGUGGUUGUCACCACCACCACCCACUGCCCACUCACUCAGUAACCCCUCCCCAUUUUAACAAACACACCAAUGAUGAGAAACACUUUGUACCUUCCUCUACUGUAAUAAGCCUAUUAUCAUGUCA
rnacentral:lncRNA from 1 species